GUAGCAAUACUCAGUGGCAGACGGGUGAGUAACAUGUGGGAAUCCUCCCUUUGGUGAGGAAUAACACGAGGAAACUUGUGCUAAUACCUCAUAAGUCUUUACGGAGAAAGCUUUAUGCGCCAAUGGAUGAGCCCGCAUUUGAUUAGUUUGUUGGUAGGGUAAUGGCCUACCAAGACUGCGAUCAAUAGCUGAUCUGAGAGGAUGAUCAGCCACAUUGGGACUGAGACACGGCCCAAACUCCUACGGGAGGCAGCAGUAGGGAACAUUGCACAAUGGAGGAAACUCUGAUGCAGCGAUGCCGCGUGAGUGAAGAAGGCCUUUGGGUUGUAAAGCUCUUUCGUCGGGGAAGAAAAUGACUGUACCCGAAUAAGAAGGUCCGGCUAACUUCGUGCCAGCAGCCGCGGUAAUACGAAGGGACCUAGCGUAGUUCGGAAUUACUGGGCUUAAAGAGUUCGUAGGUGGUUAAAAUAGUUGGUGGUGAAAUCCCAGAGCUUAACUCUGGAACUGCCAUCAAAACUUUUUAGCUAGAGUUUGAUAGAGGAAAGCAGAAUUUCUAGUGUAGAGGUGAAAUUCGUAGAUAUUAGAAAGAAUACCAAUUGCGAAGGCAGCUUUCUGGAUCAUUACUGACACUGAGGAACGAAAGCAUGGGUAGCGAAGAGGAUUAGAUACCCUCGUAGUCCAUGCCGUAAACGAUGUGUGUUAGACGUUGGAAAUUUAUUUUCAGUGUCGCAGCGAAAGCAUUAAACACACCGCCUGGGGAGUACGACCGCAAGGUUAAAACUCAAAUGAAUUGACGGGGACCCGCACAAGUAGUGGAGCAUGUGGUUUAAUUCGAAGAUACGCGCAGAACCUUACCAACACUUGACAUGUUCGUCGCGACUUUAAGAGAUUAAAGUUUUCGGUUCGGCCGGACGAAACACAGGUGCUGCAUGGCUGUCGUCAGCUCGUGUCGUGAGAUGUUGGGUUAAGUCCCGCAACGAGCGCAACCCUCACUUUUAGU
rnacentral:rRNA from 1 species